rnacentral:rRNA from 1 species
UAGCGAAGGGUGCAAGCGUUAGCUACGGAAUUACUGGGCGUAAAGCGUGCGUAGGUGGUUUGUUAAAGGUCUGACUUGGUGAAAGCCCCGGGCUCAACCUGGGAACUGGCAAUGGAUACUGGCAGGCUAGAGUGCGGUAGAGGGUAGUGGAAUUCCCGGUAGUAGCGGUGAAAUGCGUAGAGAGUCGGGAGAACACCAGUGGCGAAGGCGGCUACCUGGACCAGCACUGACACUGAGGCACGGAAAGCGUGGGAGCAAACAGG